rnacentral:tRNA from 1 species
GCCUGGGUGGCUCAGUUGGUUAAGCAUCUGACUUCGGUUCAGGUCAUGAUCUCACAGUUCAUGGGUUCAUGUCCCACAUCAGGCU